GACGAACGCUGGCGGCGUGCUUAACACAUGCAAGUCGAACGGAAAGGCCCUGCUUUUGUGGGGUGCUCGAGUGGCGAACGGGUGAGUAACACGUGAGUAACCUGCCCUUGACUUUGGGAUAACUUCAGGAAACUGGGGCUAAUACCGGAUAGGAGCUCCUGCUGCAUGGUGGGGGUUGGAAAGUUUCGGCGGUUGGGGAUGGACUCGCGGCUUAUCAGCUUGUUGGUGGGGUAGUGGCUUACCAAGGCUUUGACGGGUAGCCGGCCUGAGAGGGUGACCGGCCACAUUGGGACUGAGCUACGGCCCAGACUCCUACGGGAGGCAGCAGUGGGGAAUAUUGCACAAUGGGCGGAAGCAUGAUGCAGCAAAGCCGCGUGCGGGAUGACGGCAUUCGGGUUGUAAACCGCUUUCGCCUGUGACGAAGCGUGAGUGACGGUAAUGGGUAAAGAAGCACCGGCUAACUACGUG
rnacentral:rRNA from 1 species